rnacentral:rRNA from 1 species
AUGUGGUUUAAUUCGUAUGAUACGCGAGGAACCGUUACCUGGGCUCGAACGUAAGAUGACUGUAGGUGAAAGCUUACAUCUCUUCGGAGCAUUUUACGAGGUGCUGCAUGGUUGUCGUCAGCUCGUGCCGUGAGGUGUCGGGUUAAGUCCCAUAACGAGCGCAACCCCUACCUUAGUUGCCAUCAGGUUAAGCUGGGGACUCUAAAGGAACUGCCUACGCAAGUAGUGAGGAAGGCGGGGAUGACGUCAAAUCAGCACGGCCCUUACGUCCAGGGCUACACACGUGCUACAAUGGCCGAUACAGAGGGCAGCUACCUGGUGACAGGAUGCAAAUCUCCAAAGUCGGUCUCAGUUCGGAUCGGAGUCUGCAACCCGACUCCGUGAAGUUGGAUUCGCUAGUAAUCGCGCAUCAGCCAUGGCGCGGUGAAUACGUUCCCGGGCCUU